rnacentral:rRNA from 1 species
AACCCUUGUCCUUAGUUACCAGCACGGUAAUGGUGGGAACGUCUAAGGAGACUGCCGGUGGACGAAACCGGAGGAAGGUGGGGAUGAACGUCAAGUCAUCAUGGCCCUUACGGCCAGGGCUACACACGUGCUACAAUGGUCGGUACAAAGGGUUGCCAAGCCGCGAGGUGGAGCUAAUCCCAUAAACCGAUCGUAGUCCGGAUCGCAGUCUGCAACUCGACUGCGUGAAGUCGGAAUCGCUAGUAAUCGUGAAUCAGAAUGUCACGGUGAAUACGUUCCCGGGCCUU